UAUAUGUUGGCUAAGUAAAUACAUCAUUUCUUUAAUGAUGGCCAGCUAAGGAAUAGGUGCAUGGGGUGGGUCACUGACCCACUAACCCCUGGCUUCAUGCCUCAGCGCUUACUCAUUACCUGGCACUUAGCUCUUAUCCCUGCAUAGACCCAGGAAGUCUGACUUUCUGCACACUUUCUCAGGGUUUAAACUCCACCCCUACUAUUCACCCUCUAUGGCACUUUGUCUCCUGGGGCAGGGAUAUCGCUGCAGAAUACAGAGGCCGGCUCAGGAGAAAGUCUCCCACCCUGACUUGUCUCUCCUCCUCUUCUGCCACAGCAGCCACCCCCAGAAUGGCCUGAAGGGGGAAGAAGUGCCCCAAGUGGCAGGUCUCUUCCCAGUGUCUUAGGUCUUUGUGGAGAGAGGAAGUGGCAGCUUUGCCUGCUGGGCUAGGGGCUUAGGUUUUGGUUGGAGCAUGGAAAAGAUUCAUUCACAGAAAUUCCCCUGCCUUGUUGAGGCAAUGAUCCUCAUGCACUAACCAGCUGCUCUUGCCGGGGCAUGGGGAGUGCAGGGGGCUUUACUCAACUUGAAGCGCUGGUGGAAGGAUUCCUCCCCAGCUCCUCCCUUUUCUCCAGGCUCAGAUCCCACCAGGAUUGCAACCCUUAGCCCUAUCUGGUCUUCACUGCCACCCUUGAGGCCACCCUGGAGGCUCAGCCAACAUUCAUCCCAGUCUACAGUCCUAAGGCAGCACAGAAGGCUCCAAUGUGGACUACUUGUGAAGCAUGUCACAGUUCACAUGUGUGUCGCACUGAACUCCACAAGAUUCUGGCAGAGAGGAGGCUGCAGUGGCGAUAAAUGUUGCCUCUUGUGUGAGGGGAUGUUGAUGUGUUAACUAACCUGACUGUGGUAAUCAUGCCACUAUAUAUAUAUAUAUAUAUAUAAAAUCGCAUCAUCACACUGGACACCUUAAAAAUAUAUAAUUUUAUUUGUCAAUUAUACCUCAGUCAUGCUUGAGGCGGGUAGGGAAAAGCAUUGUUUUGCUGUUAACCCUUUUUGUGCCAUAGCUUUUGUCUGUAAAAUGGGGGAAAUAAUAACAACCAUCUCACAGAGUUGUCAGAAUUAAAUAAGAUAAUUCAUGUAAAUAAUUCACAUCAUGCCCAGCAAAUGUUAAUCACAAAUAAUUGUAAGUUACUUUAUUCCCAUUUUAUAGCAGAGGAAUCUGAGGCUCAGAAAAUUUAAGAAUUUGCUACAGGUUGCACAGUGAGAGGUAGAGUGAGGUUAGAACUUAUGACUUCCAAUUCAUCAUGCUUUCGCCAUUAAACCCAAGUUAUAGAAUAACUUCAUUAAGGGUGUGGGACUCUCCCCCAAAGCCCUAAGGCCAAAAAGAACUGUGGAGCCUCUUGAUUCCUUCCUUUUGUUUGAAUCCUCCCCAAGACAUUU
rnacentral:lncRNA from 13 species